ACGAACGCUGGCGGCGUGCCUAAUACAUGCAAGUCGAGCGAAUGAUGAGGAGCUUGCUCCUCUGAUUUAAGCGGCGGACGGGUGAGUAACACGUGGGCAACCUGCCCUGUAGAUUGGGAUAACUUCGGGAAACCGGAGCUAAUACCGGAUAAUCCAUCUUCACUCAUGUGAAGAUGUUGAAAGGCGCUUUCGCGUCACUACAGGAUGGGCCCGCGGUGCAUUAGCUAGUUGGUGGGGUAACGGCCUACCAAGGCGACGAUGCAUAGCCGACCUGAGAGGGUGAUCGGCCACAUUGGGACUGAGACACGGCCCAAACUCCUACGGGAGGCAGCAGUAGGGAAUCUUCCACAAUGGACGAAAGUCUGAUGGAGCAACGCCGCGUGAGUGAUGAAGGUUUUCGGAUCGUAAAACUCUGUUGUAAGGGAAGAACAAGUACGUUAGGAAAUGAACGUACCUUGACGGUACCUUAUUAGAAAGCCACGGCUAACUACGUGCCAGCAGCCGCGGUAAUACGUAGGUGGCAAGCGUUGUCCGGAUUUAUUGGGCGUAAAGCGCGCGCAGGCGGUUUCUUAAGUCUGAUGUGAAAGCCCACGGCUUAACCGUGGAGGGUCAUUGGAAACUGGGGGACUUGAGUGCAGAAGAGGAAAGUUGGAAUUCCAAGUGUAGCGGUGGAAAUGCGUAGAGAUUUGGAGGAACACCAGUGGCGAAGGCGACUUUCUGGUCUGCAACUGACGCUGAGGCGCGAAAAGCAUGGGGAGCAAACAGGAUUAGAUACCCUGGUAGUCCGUGCCGUAAACGAUGAGUGCUAAGUGUUAGGGGGUUUCCGCCCCUUAGUGCUGCAGCUAACGCAUUAAGCACUCCGCCUGGGGAGUACGACCGCAAGGUUGAAACUCAAAGGAAUUGACGGGGCCCGCACAAGCCGGUGGAGCAUGUGGUUUUAAUUUCGAAGCAACGCGAAGAACCUUACCAGGUCUUGACAUCCCAGUGACCGCUCUAGAGAUAGAGUUUUCCCUUCGGGGACAUUGGUGACAGGUGGUGCAUGGUUGUCGUCAGCUCGUGUCGUGAGAUGUUGGGUUAAGUCCCGCAACGAGCGCAACCCUUAAUCUUAGUUGCCAUCAUUUAGUUGGGCACUCUAAGGUGACUGCCGGUGAUAAACCGGAGGAAGGUGGGGAUGACGUCAAAUCAUCAUGCCCCUUAUGACCUGGGCUACACACGUGCUACAAUGGACGGUACAAAGAGUCGCUAACUCGCGAGAGUAUGCUAAUCUCAUAAAACCGUUCUCAGUUCGGAUUGUAGGCUGCAACUCGCCUACAUGAAGCCGGAAUCGCUAGUAAUCGCGGAUCAGCAUGCCGCGGUGAAUACGUUCCCGGGCCUUGUACACACCGCCCGUCACACCACGAGAGUUGUAACACCCGAAGUCGGUGAGGUAACCUUUUGGAGCCAGGCCGCCGAAGGUGGGAUAGAUGAUUGGGGUG
rnacentral:rRNA from 1 species